rnacentral:rRNA from 1 species
AACGUAGGAGGCGAGCGUUAUCCGGAUUUACUGGGUGUAAAGCGUGUGCAGGCGGUACGGCAAGUUGGAUGUGAAAGCUCCUGGCUUAACUGGGAGAGGUCGUUCAAAACUGCCGAACUAGAGUGUGGGAGAGGGAGGUGGAAUUCCGGGUGUAGUGGUGAAAUGCGUAGAUAUCCGGAGGAACACCAGUGGCGAAAGCGGCCUCCUGGCCCAUUUACUGACGCUCAGACACGAAAGCUAGGGGAGCGAACGGG